rnacentral:rRNA from 1 species
CAGUAGCCACGGUAAUACGAAGGGUGCAAGCGUUACUCGGAAUUACUGGGCGUAAAGCGUGCGUAGGUGGUGGUUUAAGUCCGUUGUGAAAGCUCUGGGCUCAACCUGGGAAUUGCAGUGGAUACUGGGUCACUAGAGUGUGGUAGAGGAUAGUGGAAUUUCCGGUGUAGCAGUGAAAUGCGUAGAGAUCGGAAGGAACAUCUGUGGCGAAGGCGACUAUCUGGGCCAACACUGACACUGAGGCACGAAAGCGUGGGGAGCAAACAGGAUUAGAUACCCCAGUAGUCCCUGUCUCUUAUAC